GAGGUGUCCCCAAGGUGGCCUUGGGAGUGUCCCUGGGAGUGUCCCCAAGGCGUCCCCAGGGGUGGGGACAGGGCAAGGACCCUGCAGGCUCUGUCACCACCCUGGGGACACCAAUGUCACCAAGUCCAGAGGCUCUGGAGCACCGGGAAUGUCCCCAGAAUGUCCCUGAGGUGUCCCUGGGAAUGUCCCCAAGGUGGUCCCAGGACUGUCCCCAAGGUGUCCCCAGGGGCUUCAUACGGGACCGGGUCCCUCCACCCCCCGUGCCCGAGGGGACAAUUCUGGGUGUCCCCAAGUCGGGGUGUCCCCAAAUUCUCAGGUGCCACCACUUUGGGGUGUCCCCAGUCGGGUGGCAGCACCCCUGGGUGUCCCCUGGACAGGGUGGGGACACCGAGGGCCCAGAAGGGACAAGGACAAAGGGACAAAGGGCACAGGGGUGGCCCUGCUGUCCCCUCAUUGUCCCCUCACUGCCACCCUGGGCACACGGGGACAGAGCCAGGGGACAUCUGAGCAUAAAGUGCAAAGAGGGACAGGGACAAACUGGGGACACCGGGAGGGGACUGGGGGACACCUGGGGGGUGGCCCUGGCUGGGAUCACCUGGGGACACUGAGGCCACCACUGGGACCACAAAGGGGACAUUGAGGCCACCAAAGAGGGGACAUUGAGGGGACAUCGAGGCCACCACUGAGAGGACAUUGAGGGGACAUCGGGACAUUGAGGGGACAUCGAGGCCACCAUGGCUGGGAACACCUGGGGACACUGAGGCCACCAUUGGGGACCACCUGGGCGAUGUCACCUGGGGGACAUUGAGGCCACCAGUGGGACCACUGAGGGGACAUUGAGGCCACCACUGAGGGGACAUCAAGGCCACCAUUGGGACCACCUGGGGGAUGUCACCUGGGGGGCCACCAUGGCUGGGACACCUGGGGGACACCAUGGCCACCAUUGGGACCACUGAGGGGACAUUGUGGUCAUCACUGGGAUCACUGAGGGGACAUCGAGGCCACCAUUGGGACAUCACCUGGGGGGUGACCACGGCUGAGGACACUGAGGGGACACCCCUAUGGAGUGACCAUGGCCUGGAUGACCAUGGGGACAUCCCAACAAAGCCACCCCAGCUCCCACAGCAGUGUCCUCUCAGUGUCCCCCCAAUGUCCCCUCAGUGUCCCCUCGGUGUCCCCUCAGUGUCCCCUCAAUGUCCCCCCAGUGUCCCCUCAAUGUCCCCUCGGUGUCCUCUCAGUGUCCCCUCAGUGUCCCCUCGGUGUCCCCUCAGUGUCCCCCCAGUGUCCCCUCAAUGUCCCCUCAAUGUCCCCUCAGUGUCCCCUCAGUGUCCCCAGGCCCUUGGGCUCUCACACGGUGCCACCACAGCUCCUGUCCCACGGGGAGCCACCAAAACCCCCCCGAGAUCCCUGAGGGGCUCCAGGACCCCCAAAUCCUGGGAUCAAGGUGGAUCUAGGAGGGAUCUGGAGGGAUCCAGGAGGAUCUGGGGGUGUCCAGGGGAUAUCUGGGGGUGUCCAGGGGGGAUCUGGAAGGUCCAGGUGGGAUCUGGUGGAUUCUGGUGGAGUCUGGAGCAUCUGUGUGAGAUCUGGGGGAUCCAGGAGGGAUCUGAAGAAUCCGUGAGAAAUUUGGAAGGUCCAGGUGGGAUCUGGAGGAUCCAGGUGGGAUCUGGAGGAUCCUGAUGGAGUCUGGAGCAUCUGUGUGACCUCUGGAGGAUCCAGGAAAGAUUUGGAGGAUCCAGGAGGGAUCUGAAGAAUCCGUGUGAAAUCUGGAAGGUCCAGGUGGGAUCUGGUGGAUCCAAGUGGGGCCUGGUGGAGCCAGGAGGGAUCUUGGUGGAGCUGGGCAGGAUCUGGAGGACCCUGGUGGAGUCUGGAAGGUCCAGGUGGGAUCUGGAGGAUCCAGGAAGGUUCUGGAGGAGCCGGGCAGGAUCUGGUGGAGCCAGAAAGGAUCUGGUGCCGAGGUGGAGCCUUGGAAGCUUCAAACAGUGCUGGGAGAGAGCUCAGGGAGAGCCCCAGGGUGCAGAUGGAGCUGGGAUCUGGCGGGAUCCUGGCUGGGAUCUGGGUUCAAUCCUGGUGGAUCCUGGCUGGAUUUGGGCUCAAUCUUGGCUGUGAUCCCAACUGGAUCUGGGUUCAACGCCAGCUGGAUUUGGGCUGGAUCCCAGCUGGAUCUGGGCUGGAUCCCAGCUGGAUCUGGGCUGGAUCCCAGCAGAUCCCUCAGUUGCUCCAGCACAAUCCACGGCCCUGCUGGGUGGCUCUGGGCUCAGUCCUGGUGGAUCCUGGCUGGAUCUGGAUUCAGUCUUGGCUGGAUUUGGGCUGGAUUUGGGCUGGAUCCCAGUGGAUCCCUCAGCUGCUUCAGCACUGCCCACAGCCCUGCUGGGUCUGGGUUCAAUCCUGGUGGAUCUGGGCUCAAUCCCAGCUGGAUCCCAGUUCAGAUCCCAGUAGAUCCCAUCAGAUCCCAUGGAUCCCUCAGUUGCUGCAGCACUGCCCACGGCCCUGCGGGUUGGAUCUGGACUCAGUCCUGGUGGAUCCUGGUUGUGAUCCUGGGUCAAUCCCAAUGGAUCUUGGCUGGAUUUGACCUGGAUUUGGGCUGGAUCCCG
rnacentral:lncRNA from 1 species